GGAAGGAUCAUUAACACGUAUCCACGUAUCCACCCAAUGUGCACUGUAUCGAAUCUCGUCGCUUCAAUCUCGAUUGAAUCGGCACACCCGCGUAUGUGCAUAGGCUUCGGCCUAUGUAGGAUGCGCACUUCAAUACACCUCUAUCACCCCCUUUUUGCUAGUUGACUUUUUAUGCGUCGCUGGAUCCUCGAUCUAUGCACGUGUUGAUUUAUCUCAACAAAAAAUACAACUCUUAGCAAUGGAUAUCUUGGUUCUCGCAACGAUGAAGAACGCAGCGAAAUGCGAUACGUAAUGCGAAUUGCAGAAUUCAGUGAAUCAUCAAAUCUUUGAACGCAAAUUGCGCUCUUGGGUAGCCCUAGGAGCACGCCUCUCUCAGUAUCGGUUCAAACACCACUCACCUGCAUGAUGAUUCGUGCCAGGUGGAAAAUGAGAGUCUCAUAGAUGCCUGCAUAUGCAUCGAUGAGUCUCUUGAAAUCCAUCGACUCUAUUGUGUCGACCUCGACCUGUGCACCUUCGGUGUACAAGCGAGACUCUUACUCCAUGCACGCAUGGGAGUGACGUGAAUACUGACCCUCGUGGUCGCACAUUUACGUGUAACUUUCAUCGGCUUGAUCAACGGUAGGUGUCUCGUGUGCGCGGUAUGAUUCAAUAGCGGAACGCGACCGAAUCCAUAGGUUGCAAUCGACUCUCUAUAUUCUAUAUACGAGUCUGAAUUUUGAUCUGAGAUGAAGCGAGACAACCCCCUGAAUUUAAGCAUAUUAAUAAGGGGAGGAAAAGAAACUAACAAGGAUUCCCUUAGUAACGGCGAGUGAAGCGGGAAGAGCUCAAUUUGAAAAUCGACUACCUAAGCGGGUCGUCGAGUUGUAGCCUAGAGACGUACUAUCAGCUGAAACCUGGGUAUAAGUUCUUUGGAAUGAGGCAUCAUAGAGGGUGAGAAUCCCGUAUAUGACCCAAAGCUUUCAGCGUACGAUGUAUGUUCAUCGAGUCGAGUUGUUUGGGAUUGCAGCUCUAAAUGGGUGGUAAGUUUCAUCUAAAGCUAAAUAAUGGCGAGAGACCGAUAGCGAACAAGUACCGUGAGGGAAAGAUGAAAAGAACUUUGAAAAGAGAGUUAAAAGUACUUGAAAUUGCUAAGAGGGAAGCGCUGAGCACCAGUGUGUUCAGGUCGUACAUCGCAUUCGGUCCCACUGGCUUCAGUGUGCAGUUGGAAACUCUGCUUGCUGAAGCGAAAGGGAGGCCGGGUGUUUAGUACGAUCUGUCAGUCAAGAUUCAUUCGAUGGGUGGAAGAAGGUCGUGAGAAAGGUAGGUGACCUUCGGGUCGCUGUUAUAGUCUCAUGACUCUACCUCGCGUUGGAUGGAGGAAGGAAUAGUGCGCUGCUUGCGGCUUCGUCCUCGGUCCCUGCAUGUCGCCUCUGGCUUGAUAGCAAUGCUAUCCUGUUGGAGCGUCGGUGUGUACUGGGCUGGGUGACGCUAUGUGCUAUCACGAUCUUGUACGAAAUGGUGCUCAUCGACCCGUCUUGAAACACGGACCAAGGAGUCUAACAUCUAUGCGAGUAUUUGAGUGCAAAACUCGAAUGCGCAAUGAAAGUAAAGGUAGCUUCGGCUACUGAGGUAGGAAUCCGGCAACGGAGGCACUAUCGACCGAUCAUCACUUGUGAAAGAUUUGAGUAAGAGCAUAUCUGUUGGGACCCGAAAGAUGGUGAUCUAUGCCUGAACAGGGUGAAGCCAGGGGAAACUCUGGUGGAGGCUCGUAGCGAUACUGACGUGCAAAUCGUUCGUCUGAUUUGGGUAUAGGGGCGAAAGACUAAUCGAACCAUCUAGUAGCUGGUUCCCUC
rnacentral:misc_RNA from 1 species